rnacentral:tRNA from 1 species
ACUGGGUUGGCCGAGUGGUUAAGGCGUUGGACUUAAGUUCCAAUGGACAAGUGUCCGCGUGGGUUAGAACACCCACACCCAGUA